AGAGUUUGAUCCUGGCUCAGAACGAACGUUGGCGGCGUGCUUAACACAUUUNAGUCGAACGCGAACGGUUUCUUCGGAGACUUAGUAGAGUGGCGCACGGGUGAGUAACGCGUAAGUAAUCUACCCUUGCAUUUGGGAUAACUAUGGGAAGCUGUAGCUAAUACCGAAUACGUUCAUAUAGUUACGACUAUAUGAAGAAAGAUGGCCUCUUCUUGAAAGCUAUCGUGCAGGGAGGAGCUUGCGUACCAUUAGCUAGUUGGUAGGGUAAAGGCCUACCAAGGCAACGAUGGUUAGCGGGUCUGAGAGGAUGAUCCGCCACACUGGAACUGAAACACGGACCAGACUCCUACGGGAGGCAGCAGUGAGGAAUAUUGCGCAAUGGGGGAAACCCUGACGCAGCGACGCCGCGUGGAUGAUGAAGGCCUUAGGGUCGUAAAAUCCUGUCAGGUGGGAAGAAAUGCAUAUGUACUAAUACUACUUAUGUUUGACGGUACCACCAAAGGAAGCACCGGCUAACUCCGUGCCAGCAGCCGCGGUAAUACAAGGGCGA
rnacentral:rRNA from 1 species